UGUUACUGCAAUAUGGAAACGAAGAUAAUCACAUACAAAAUGUAUGAGCCAUCGUUCUCCAUUGUAGCAGUAUGAAGGUCCUUGCACAAUAUCAGCAUGGAGUCGUUCAAAGGGUAGUUUUGAUCGUAUAUGUGGACGGCGUGAUAUUUGAUUCUUAGCUUUAGCAAGUUGACAAGGUUCACAAAGUUCUUUGUCCUCCGUAUCUGUAAUCUUCACAAUAUCUUUAAUAUCUGAUAUCUGAACCCCUUUGGCAUCAGUUGGUAGAUGUUCAAUUGCUCUCAUCGAGGGGUGCCCAAGACGUUUGUGCCAGAUGUUGGCGGAUGCUGUAGAACUCUUCAGAGUGUAGGAGGAAGAAGUUGAUGAUCUUGGUUCUGUUGGAUUGCUAGUUGGGGCAAUAUUAGCGAGCACUAAGGCAUUCUCACUAGUUCUGUGAUAUUCAGUAACUAGCAGUCCAUCGUACACUUCUAUACGAGCGAAGAUCGAGUCAUCACUAAUUCUCCGCAAUCUAAACGAUUUGCCAUCGAGAUAGAUUCCUCCUAUAUGAUAACAGGGUUUCCAAGCGAUUAGGUUGGUGUGUGAGAAUGGAAUGAAUCUAGAUCGAUUAUUGCAGAUGUGACGCUCAGCACCAGUAUCGAAUAUCCAGGAAUCUCGGAGAUAUGGGCGUUGAUUGGAAGGAGAGCUCCCGACGUUCACAUUUAGGCAUCUUGUUAAUCGGUCGACAGAACCAUUCCUCCUAGUGUUGGUUCUAUCAUCUCAGUAUUAGAAGCAGCUGCCUUGCUUAUUGCUGCAUCUAUCUUCUUCUUGAUAUCUUCAUUCUUAAGUGCUUCAUCCACCUUCUUACGUCGUUGCUCAUUCUCCUUCCAUCCUUCUGGUCUCUGACUUGGAUUGAGAUAAUAACAUUUGACCCAGGAAUGUUUAGAACCACAGACACAAGUUUUUGAUUUUGAUUGUCCUGCUUGCCUGCCAUUAAAGGUAGCAAGGUUGGACACAAGCAGUCCUGGUUUGCUGUAUCCCUUCUUGCGAUAUUCAGAACGGAAGUCAUUGACCACAUCUGCAAAGGAGAAGUUCUCUUUACCUCCUAUCUCAACUUCUCUCUUUCGAAUGGAAGCGUACGGUUUAUCAAUUGACAUGUUGAUAUGGAAGAAAUCCUCCCAUAUAUCGAAGGUGCCAUCUAUACCAGAAUGCUUGAUUUCUGUUUCAAUCAGGGUCCAGGCAUCUAACCACUGAUCAAGAUUCUGUUUAGGUAGCUUCUAUGUUGGUAUCAUUGUUAUAUUUGGUAUUCUCCAUCUCCCAUUUAAUCUUUGCUUCCAAGUACUUGAAGUUCUGCGGCAAGUCCUAGUAUCAUCUUGUACCAUAAGUUCCAGUUCUUGGAAGAAUUCAAGAAGAGUGUUGUCUUUAACGAUGAAUUUUCCGCUGACAUCUUGGUUGUUGUAUAUAGAUAUAAAGCCGAUAUAGGGUCGAACAGAUAAUCGAUAUAGAAUUGGAUGGAUAUAAUCGAUAUCGAGUCGUACGAAUGUAAUCGAUAUAUAAUAUGCCGUUAUCUCUCGCCGAUAUAUAAGUUGAUGAGGAUCGGAUAGAUAUAGAUAUAGAUAUCAAGAUAUUAAGAUAGAUAUAGGUAGAUAUCUUUGCCGAUAAGAAGGUCGGUAUGGAUAGAUAUCAAUAGAAUUAGAUAAGAUAAAUAGCUAUAGGUAGCAACCCGGGC
rnacentral:sRNA from 1 species